rnacentral:tRNA from 1 species
AUGCUCUUAGUUCAAUUGUUAGAAUGCGAGUCUACAAAACUUGACGUUGUAGGUUCGAAUUUUAUUGAGCAUA